GAUGAACGCUGGCGGCGUGCUUAACACAUGCAAGUCGAACGAACCUUCGGGUUAGUGGCGGACGGGUGAGUAACGCGUGAGAAUCUGCCCUCAGGAGGGGGACAACAGCUGGAAACGGCUGCUAAUACCCCAUAUGCCGCGAGGUGAAAUGAAUUUCGCCUGAGGAUGAGCUCGCGUCUGAUUAGCUAGUUGGUGUAGGUAAUGGCUCACCAAGGCAUCGAUCAGUAGCUGGUCUGAGAGGAUGAUCAGACACACUGGGACUGAGACACGGGCCAGACUCCUACGGGAGGCAGCAGUGGGGAAUUUUUCGCAAUGGGCGAAAGCCUGACGGAGCACCGCCGCGUGAGGGAUGAAGGGCUCUGGGCUGUAAACCUCUUUUAUCAAGGAAGAAGAUCUGACGGUACUUGAUGAAUAAGGCACGGCUAAUUCCGUGCCAGCAGA
rnacentral:rRNA from 1 species